AAUUGCUGGCAGUGAGCUUUCAUAUCUUGGCCUAUGACUCUGUAGCCAGCUGAAAAUUAAAGAAACACCUCAAUUAAAUGAUUAUCAUCUUGGAAUAGACCCACCUGAACUAGAAAUUUUAUUAUUUUUUGAAUAGUAAAUUAUACUUGCAGAGCAGUCCUACCACCCAAGAGGGCUCUGAUAAAUGUGGCUCCAAGAAAUCCAGGUGUGCCAAAGUAAUUGAAGGAUAAUUCACAAUCACAGCUGACCUUAGCUGACCUAAGCAGGACCGUGUGCAUAUUUGGAUGGGACACCAUAAGGAAAUUCCAGAAUUGUAGAUUGGAAAGUUUAAAGAAGCCAACCC